UUGCAGCUAAUUAAGCCGACCGACUUUUGCUGUAAUCAGAAGCUGGUGUGCAAUGGCUGCAUACAGUAUGAUCCUUGGCUGUGUAUGCACUUUGCUGCCUAUGCAUAGUGCUUUAAGGGGCCUUGGAGACAUCG